rnacentral:rRNA from 1 species
AUACGUAGGGGGCGAGCGUUGUCCGGAAUGAUUGGGCGUAAAGGGCGCGUAGGCGGCCCGGUAAGUCUGGAGUGAAAGUCCUGUUUUUAAGAUGGGAAUUGCUUUGGAUACUGUCGGGCUUGAGUGCAGGAGAGGUAAGUGGAAUUCCCAGUGUAGCGGUGAAAUGCGUAGAGAUUGGGAGGAACACCAGUGGCGAAGGCGACUUACUGGACUGUAACUGACGCUGAGGCGCGAAAGUGUGGGGAGCAAACAGGAUUAGAUACCCUGGUAGUCCACACUGUAAACGAUGAAUGCUAGGUGUAGGGGGUAUCGACCCCUUCUGUGCCGCAGUCAACACAAUAAGCAUUCCGCCUGGGGAGUACGGCGGCAAGGUUGAAACUCAAAUGAAUUGACGGGG